CACUCUUGUUUCUCUUCAGAUCGCAUAAAUCUUUCACCUUCUACUAAAGAUUUCCGUGCAGGGGAACAACAAGAGUUAUCCUAAAUUUAAGGGAGUGGCGGCCUAGUGGUUAGG
rnacentral:snRNA from 1 species